UACGUAGGGUGCAAGCGUUGUCCGGAAUUAUUGGGCGUAAAGAGCUCGUAGGCGGUCUGUCGCGUCUGCUGUGAAAACCUAGGGCUUAACUCUGGGCGUGCAGUGGGUACGGGCAGGCUAGAGUGCGGUAGGGGAGACUGGAAUUCCUGGUGUAGCGGUGAAAUGCGCAGAUAUCAGGAGGAACACCUGUGGCGAAGGCGGCCCCCUGGGCCGGCCCUGACACUGAGACGCGAAGGCGUGGGGAGCGAACGGG
rnacentral:rRNA from 1 species